GAUUGGCUGGCUGCAUCCGACGGACGAGCUUCUUCGCCGUCGCUUCCACCCAAGCGUGCUCUGCGCACUGGAGCUCGGGCACAGCCGGGUCCUUCUCUUCAGGAAGUGGAGGUGGCUGGCGGCGGCGGCGGCCGCCGGGAGCGAGGUCGAGCUUGCCAGCGGAAAGGCUCCGCCCUUUCGCCCUGCUUGGGGUUGAGGCAGGCGGGCCGUGGGCCGAGACAGGAUGCAGCAGGUGUCGGAGCGUGAGAGUGGAGCGGCCACAGGGAAUGGGCUGGAGAGCCCCACAGCAUCUGAUGCCCAGCCAGUUCCCCCCUCACCUCCCAAGCCCCCUUCCUUGGAUCUCUUCAAUCUAGUGGUGUCAUACAAGCGACUGGAGUUGUAUCUAGAACCGCUGCAGGACCUUCUUGAAGGGGUGUGGUUUCUCCUCAGCUGGCAGAUGCCUCUCUGCUCCCUUCUUACCUGCCUGGGCCUCAACUUUCUGCUGCUGACUCUGAGUGAAGCUGCUUGGUAUGGGCUGUGUGUCUUCCUGAUCUCAGUGCCUGCCAUGUUAGGCUACCUACAGGAGACCUACCGCAUCCGCCUAACUGAAGAAGAGCUGGCGCGUCGUAGGCACCACAGUGUGUGGCGCGAGGAUGUGCGAAAGGUUCAGCUUUCUCGCCAGGAGGCUGUAGCUGAAGUGAAAGGCUUCCUGAUCCAGCUGGAAGCCUUCAUGAGCCGACUCUGUAGUGGCUGUGAGGCAGUCUACCGUGUCCUCUACUGGGAGAACCCCUCGCUCUCCUCACAGUUUUAUGGGAUGCUGAUGGGUACCGUGUGUGCCCUCUACCUCCUGCCCUUGUGCUGGGUUUUCCUCCUCAUUAAUAAUGCCCUUUUCUUGGGCAAUGUGGCAUUUUACCAAGUGAUUCUGGAGCUGAAGUCCGCUGUAGAGCAGCGCUUGGGCCUCAGGCCGCUUGCCAGUUCUCCAGAGCCUGCAGAGCCAGAUGCUGGAGAAGUAUGGGCUGGAGCCCUGCUGAACCGGACACCCACCCCCACCAGUACUGAGGAUCUGACCCCUGGCAGUGUGGAGGAAGCAGAGGAAGCAGAACCCGAUGAUGAAUUCAAGGAUGCUGUUGAGGAGACCCAACUGCUAGUGAUGGAGGAUGACGACAUCUCCCAGUGCUCAGCAGAAUUUGAGCUGGGCCUUCCCGAAAAUGUCUUCAUGAGCAAGAACGAGGUGAUUCGCAGCAAGGUGUCACGGCUGACUGAGCGUCUGCGCAAGCACUACCCAACGAACAACCUUGGAAGCUGUGCAAGCUGUUCAGCCACUUUCUCUGUCCUGAAGAAGAGGCGAAGCUGUAGUAACUGCGGGAACAGUUUCUGCUCCAGGUGCUGCUCCUUCAAAGUUCCCAAGAGCUACAUGGGGGCUACAGCCCCUGAUGCCCAGCGGGAGACAGUCUUCGUGUGUGCGCAGUGCAACCAAGCACUCCUCAAGUGAGAAGCUGGUCCGGAGUCCUGUGCUCUGCUGAAUCUGUUCUGCGUCUUACCCCGUACUGCUGAUACUUGGGUAUGACGUAAACUAUGCUUGGCAAACAAGACACAGCUAUGGCUCUUGACCACAUGGAAAAGGUCAGGUUCUGUCACAAGCGUGGGUACAAGUCAUAAGGAGAAAUGAUUACAGAAAGAAAGAACAAGACUUCAUUGUUGGCUAAAGUUCAUGCAAUGUUCCCUGCACUUAGAAUGUUGUCCUUCUCAGUUCCUCUCUGGCACUUACCAAUAAGUCCCGACAUUCUACAAUACUGGACAAACAGGCCAGAUCAAAACUCAUUGCAGCCUGGAUUCAGAUGAAGAUUUUUUAAAUAUGUUGGCUACUUAUAAACUGUUUGCACAGUAGUAUUUAACCUUAUGGAGAGCUGAUUGUCUGUAUUGUCUGUCUGUGCAAGAAAGAGAGUGUUAUGGUGCCCCCACCCCCAAUCUGAAUGGGAACCUGGGGAAAGGGUAGCACUUACUCCACUGUGUGGCAGGAUGCUACCAAUGGUUAGUUGACAUCAAGGGUAUUGCUGGGUACUUAAAUGAUCUGGGGCCAGGCCUGCAACACCUCUUUUUGAUUAUUAAACUCAGUCAUAUCCACCCCACAAGAAUAAUUACUUUAAAAAAAAGAAAAGUCUCUAAUAUUAUAAUACUGCGCAAGCCACCUUAUGACGCAGCAGGAAAAUGACUUGAUUAACAAGCCAGAGGUUGCCAGUUUGAAUCCCCGCUGGUAUGUUCCCCAGACUAUGGGGAACACCUGUAUUGAGCAGCAGCGAUAUAGGAAAGAUGCUGAAAGGCAUCAUCUCAUACUAUGGAGGAGAUGGCAAUGGUAAACUCCUCCUGUAUUCUACCAAGACAACCACAGGGCUCUGUGGGCGCCAGGAGUCAACACCGACCUGAAGGCACACUUUACCUUUUAUUAUAAGACAGCAUGUAUGAAGGUGAAAGCAGCAGAGAGCUAGGUGAGGCCAGGAGCUCUCUCCCAUGCUCUGUACAGGUGCCUCCAUGGUUGCAUUUCCUUUCUGGAAGAAGCCAUGGAGGAAGGAGGUACCAGAUGAGAUUCAAGGCUCUGAGCAAUUCACUGGGGGACUGUGUUCCAUGCCCCCCUACCCAUGAUGCACCUGGUUGACAUUCAGACUAAGUUUACCUGAUAAUAUAACUUGGGAGUUACACUGAAGGACUACUUUAAUUGCAACAGGACUUCUGCCAAGUCGUUUAGUCAGGAAGCCAGCCAUUGACUCUUGGGCAAUUGCAGGUGCCCUGCACUGAGAGGCAACCAUCCAACUGGUAGGGGCUACUCUCAUGACUGGGCUUGCAGGUGGGCGAGAAGGCAGGGUUCAACCUACACUUCCCCCAGACGAUAGUGUGCAGCCCCACAAGCCAUGUGGGGCUGCACACAACCAGCGCUGCCAGGAGCAGCGUGGGUAAACAGAGGCCAGGACUCGUUAUCUGGGUCUCCUCAUAUCCCACCAGGCAUGACUAUCACGGUGCCUUGGGGGAUUCCCCCAUCAGACGGGCACUCUUGGUGCCUGUCUCUGUCUCCUCGGCUCUGUGGCACUGAAGAGAGACAUGAGCCCGGCAGCCGGGUUAAGGGAGUGCUUGUUCCCUUAGCCUCCUCUAAAAGCCAGGCUCAUGAGUAGGGUUAGGCUGGGUGGGAGUGCUGGGAUCUGCGUGGGAACACAAACAGCCUAGCUCAGGGCUGCUCGUGAGAACAGCCUCCUAGUCUGACUCCAUUGGUCAGCCAUUCUGGGCAGGAAGAUCACCUUGAUGCUGAUCAGGGUUAGCAGAGCUGUCGCAUGGUGUGGGUUACACCCCAAUUUCCAAGACUGGCUGAAGCAAGAGACAAACAGAAGCAGGACUCAAUCAGUCAUCCCCUUAAAACUUGUGGGGUGCUAAUCAGGCACGAGACUACUUGAGAACUACAGUCAGCUUGCUACUUUCCCCACAAGCAGCACAUUAUUCAAGGAUUUGUUGCACUCGCUAUUUAUCAUAAUUUCCUGUAUUACUGAUGCAGUGUGACAUUUCAAACUUCACAAGAUAGCAAUUUUUUAAAAACAGGAUUGAGCACAUUAACAGAAAACUGUGUUAGGGAUGGAUCAGUAUGCAUAGUCCUAUGCUCUGAAGUGGCAUUUCUAGCUUGUGCCAAAUUCUCCUGCUAAGAUAACACAGCAUGUUUUGUUAUUUUUAUUUAUUGCAGUGUGAUCACAGAUAGAAGGAAGUGCUGCUGCUGCAGGCCAAGCUCAAGAGCUACAGGGCUACUGUGAGGACACUAAUAAUAGCAGAAGUUGCGUGUACAUGGCGUGUGAGUGUGUGGGGGUGAGGUCACUGCAAGGAAAUGGGGCCCUGGUGUUUCAGUGAGUUCUGGGCUAUUGCCUGCAGCUUAUUAGCACCUCUAUGUAUAAAAACGUGUCAUUUCAAAAUUUGCUUUUACACUUAAAUGGUGAGAGGUUUUUUUAAGUUGCUAAAUUUAAUAUAUUUACAUCUUGUUUUCCCGCUUGAAUCCAAAAGUAUCCACAACUAGUCCCAUGGGAAGGGAAAAAUCCAAUUAGGAAAUUCUAAAUUUCAAUUUUAAAAAGCACAUUUGAGUCACAAUGUGAAAAUCCCACAACCCUGUAAUUCAUUUUGGCUGUGUCAGCUCUGAUCUGCUAAGCAGAGGGACCAAAAAGAGGGAAAGUGAUAUUCAUGGGACUAGUCAGCCACUGGUUGAGUGGUGGGUGAUAAUGCUCUAAAAACACUGGCUGACAUCCGGACGAAAUUAUUCCUCAGUAGUCCUACUGAAAUUAAGUAGUACCAUUGAGUAACUUAGUUUGGAUGUCAGCCACUGUACUGAUGGCAGGAUUCAGCAUCCACCCCACCUUUUGUCACUAAAUAAACACAGCAGAAUAGUAAGAUACACAACUCAAAAUAUGAAUCAGAAAAAUCAUUAAGGUUAAAAUCAUUAUGGGUUAAAAUCAUUGAUCAAUAAUUGGUAAACUGGGAAUGUUAUGUAGAUGUCACACCAUUAGUGUUCCAGUGUGGUGAAGACCAGAGAGAGAGAGAGAGGGGGGGGGGGGUCAUUCACACAAUCAAAAACUAACUGCUCUAUCCAGGUUUGGGAGCUGUGUGUGCUCCCAAUUUUUGGUUUUGUGGAAGCAAGGUAGGAGGAAGCAAGGUUGUGUGCAAGCAAGGUAGGAGGAAAACCUGGUAGCUUUUCCUCCUACCUUGCUUCCACACUAUCUCUUCUAUCCAGGUUUUUUUCUUACCUUGCUUCCACACAACUGAAAAUUGGGAGCACACAUAGCUCACAAAUCUGGGAAGAACACAGGUUUUGAUUGUGUAAAUGACCUCAGUAUGUGCGAGAUAGAGUAUCCACAAAGCAGUUCUCUUGCAUGUUUCUGACGUGAGGAACAGAGAUGCUUGAAGUUGGGAAAUAUUGCCACAAAUGGGGAAAGAAAUCAACUAGACACUAUGGUGAGCAGUAUCAAGGUUAUGGAAUUAUUUAUUUGGAUACAUAUUAGACAAAAAAUAGAUGAAAACAUUUUUUAAUUUGUCCAGCUUCAAUUGCUUAGAACUGUAUGUAUCUGCAGAGAAGAAAAUGAAAUAAAUAUGUGUGGCUAUA